rnacentral:rRNA from 1 species
AUGAAGCCUAGCUUGCUGGGUGGAUUAGUGGCGAACGGGUGAGUAACACGUGAGUAACCUGCCCUUGACUCUGGGAUAAGCGCUGGAAACGGCGUCUAAUACCGGAUAUGACCUGCCCCGGCAUCGGGUGUGGGUGGAAAGUUUUUCGGUCAAGGAUGGACUCGCGGCCUAUCAGCUUGUUGGUGAGGUAAUGGCUCACCAAGGCGACGACGGGUAGCCGGCCUGAGAGGGUGACCGGCCACACUGGGACUGAGACACGGCCCAGACUCCUACGGGAGGCAGCAGUGGGGAAUAUUGCACAAUGGGCGAAAGCCUGAUGCAGCAACGCCGCGUGGGGGAUGACGGCCUUCGGGUUGUAAACCUCUUUUAGUAGGGAAGAAGGGCUUCGGCUUGACGGUACCUGCAGAAAAAGCACCGGCUAACUACGUGCCAGCAGCCGCGGUAAUACGUAGGGUGCAAGCGUUGUCCGGAAUUAUUGGGCGUAAAGAGCUCGUAGGCGGUUUGUCGCGUCUGCUGUGAAAACCCGAGGCUCAACCUCGGGCCUGCAGUGGGUACGGGCAGACUAGAGUGCGGUAGGGGAGAAUGGAAUUCCUGGUGUAGCGGUGGAAUGCGCAGAUAUCAGGAGGAACACCGAUGGCGAAGGCAGUUCUCUGGGCCGUUACUGACGCUGAGGAGCGAAAGCGUGGGGAGCGAACAGGAUUAGAUACCCUGGUAGUCCACGCCGUAAACGUUGGGAACUAGAUGUGGGGACCUUUCCACGGUCUCCGUGUCGCAGCUAACGCAUUAAGUUCCCCGCCUGGGGAGUACGGCCGCAAGGCUAAAACUCAAAGGAAUUGACGGGGGCCCGCACAAGCGGCGGAGCAUGCGGAUUAAUUCGAUGCAACGCGAAGAACCUUACCAAGGCUUGACAUAUACCGGAAACUUCCAGAAAUGGUUGCCCCGCAAGGUCGGUAUACAGGUGGUGCAUGGUUGUCGUCAGCUCGUGUCGUGAGAUGUUGGGUUAAGUCCCGCAACGAGCGCAACCCUCGUUCUAUGUUGCCAGCACGUUAUGGUGGGAACUCAUAGGAGACUGCCGGGGUCAACUCGGAGGAAGGUGGGGAUGACGUCAAAUCAUCAUGCCCCUUAUGUCUUGGGCUUCACGCAUGCUACAAUGGCCGGUACAAAGGGCUGCGAUACCGUAAGGUGGAGCGAAUCCCAAAAAGCCGGUCUCAGUUCGGAUUGAGGUCUGCAACUCGACCUCAUGAAGUCGGAGUCGCUAGUAAUCGCAGAUCAGCAACGCUGCGGUGAAUACGUUCCCGGGCCUUGUACACACCGCCCGUCAAGUCAUGAAAGUCGGUAACACCCGAAGCCAGUGGCCUAACCGUAAGGAGGG